rnacentral:rRNA from 1 species
UACCAGCACCCCGAGUGGUCGGGACGUUUAUUGGGCCUAACGCCUCCGUAGCCGGUUCUACAAGUCUUCCGUUAAAUCCACCUGCUUAACAGAUGGGCUGCGGAAGAUACUAUGGAGCUAGGAGGCGGGAGAGGCAAGCGGUACUCGAUGGGUAGGGGUAAAAUCCGUUGAUCCAUUGAAGACCACCAGUGGCGAAGGCGGCUUGCCAGAACGCGCUCGACGGUGAGGGAUGAAAGCUGGGGGAGCAAACCGG